UAUUGAGAGUUGUGUAUAUGUGUUUCGAUAGAGAAAGUCUAUGAUUACAAGAAUUCUAUGAAUUCAGAUUAGUUGAAGUAAAGUUUAUUAUUUCUAGUGUUGGAUGGAAUUUAUUGAGAUUUGAGUGGUCUUUUGAGAGUGCAGGGUUACACAUUGUGGUUAUCAGUUGAUGGAGGAGUAUUGUUACUAGGAGGAAGCAUUGUAGUAUUUCUUAGUAUUUUAGUAGUUCGGAAUA
rnacentral:lncRNA from 1 species